UGGGGAAUAUUGCGCAAUGGGCGGAAGCCUGACGCAGCAACGCCGCGUGCGGGAUGACGGCCUUCGGGUUGUAAACCGCUUUUCAGCAGGGACGAAGCGUGAGUGACGGUACCUGCAGAAGAAGCACCGGCCAACUACGUGCCAGCAGCCGCGGUGAUACGUAGGGUGCGAGCGUUGUCCGGAAUUAUUGGGCGUAAAGAGCUCGUAGGUGGUUGAUCGCGUCGAAAGUGAAAUCUCAGGGCUUAACCCUGAGCGUGCUUUCGAUACGGGCCGACUAGAGGAAGGUAGGGGAGAAUGGAAUUCCUGGUGGAGCGGUGGAAUGCGCAGAUAUCAGGAGGAACACCAGUGGCGAAGGCGGUUCUCUGGACCUUUCCUGACGCUGAGGAGCGAAAGCGUGGGGAGCAAAACAGGCUUAGAUACCCUGGUAGUCCACGCCGUAAAACGGUGGGUACU
rnacentral:rRNA from 1 species